GUGACGACAGGUGGCAUCGGAUACUUUUCUUGAAGCAACCCGCAUGUGACAGGUGGUAUGGGAUUCAGAGGCCGUUGGGAGUAAGCUUGGGCAGUAAGAAAUCUGAGCCGGAGGGUGAGAAAAACAGAGAGGAGCGGAUGCAUUGUUUUUUUUACAGAGAACAGGGUGAGAGGUAAGGAUUCUGGACAGAAAACCAUGGUAAGCUGAGCUUAGACCAUGGGUGAGCUGUAAGAGUGAGAGAGAACGGAGGAGAAGGGUUUUCUAGAGAGAGCUAAAACAGAGGAAGAAAAAUGAAGUGAGAGCAAGGAGGAGAGAGUGAGCUGGGGAAGACAUCUGAAACAAGAGGAGCUAUAGGGAGGUGAUUUUGAGCUGAGCAGGGGAGUGAGUUGGAUUUUGAGAGGGUUUGAGGCUGUGAAAAUGAGCUGAACAGUGAGAGGGGCAGAGGAGAGAAAGGGAGUGGGUUUGCUGCGGUUUUGAUGUAAGCUUAGGAGAAGAAGCAGAGCAGCUUGAAGCCCAGUUAGUUCCGCUGGAGGGGAGCAUUUCCAGAAGGAUGGCCUUAGAAGCAGCAGCAGUGGAAGCAGCAGUGACUGAUGUAUAUAGAGAUGGGCGAAGCUUAUUAAGUUGGUAUGGUCGUAAAUUUGGUUAUUGGAAGAAUCUAAAAAGAAACAAUGAAGAUUUAAUGCAGAAAGCUAGAGAGCUUUGGGAACUGAGAAAUGGCAUAAGGGAAGGAAUAAGCCAAAAUAGAAUCAGGCCAGACACAACAGCAUGGCUGAGAUGAAUGAAAGUGAAGCGAUAGAACUAGACACCAAAUACAAUGAUAGAAAAAACCACCCAUGGAAAUUGUUUCGUUUUUGGAAGGGUGCUAGUCUUAGCAAAGACAUGGCUGAGAAGUGCAAGCAAGUUCUUAGUCUUUGGGAAGAGGGAAAA